AACGCGAAGAACCUUACCGGGGUUUGAACCGCACGGGACAGCUGCAGAGAUGCAGUCUUCCUUCGGGACCCGUGUAGAGGUACUGCAUGGCUGUCGUCAGCUCGUGUCGUGAGAUGUUGGGUUAAGUCCCGCAACGAGCGCGACCCUUGCCUCCUGUUGCCAUCAGGUAAUGCUGGGCACUCUGGAGAGACCGCCGGUGAUAAACCGGAGGAAGGUGGGGAUGACGUCAAGUCCUCAUGGCCUCUAUGCCCCGGGCUACACACGUGCUACAAUGGCUGGUACAAAGGGUUGCAAAACCGCGAGGUGGAGCUAAUCCCAAAAAGUCGGCCUCGGUUCGGAUUGGAGGCUGAAACUCGACUCCAUGAAGUUGGAAUCGCUAGUAAUCGCGGAUCAGCAUGCCACGGUGAAUACGUUCCCGGGCCUUGUACACACCG
rnacentral:rRNA from 1 species